CCUUCGAUAGUUCAGCUGGUAGAGUGGAGGACUGUCGCUCCUUAGGUCACUGGUUUGAUCCCGGUUCGAAGGG